rnacentral:lncRNA from 10 species
GUGGAGCUAUUGAGAGUGGUCACAUUUGGAAGAUGUUUUGUAGGAAGUGUCAACAAAGUUUCUUAUUGAUUAGAUGUAGGGAAUGUGAGAAAGAGAAGGGGGGGGAACACGUAGAUUUUGGGUCAAAGCAAUAAAUAUUCCAUUGACAGAAUUGAAACAGCAAGUUGGUGGAGGAGGGGAACGGGGUAGCAAGAAGCGAAUGUUUCAUAUUGGACAUUUUAAGAUUCCUAUUUGACAUUUAAGUGUAACUCUUGAAAAAGCAAUGGAUAUAUGAAGAAUCCUAGACUAGAGAUACAAAUUUGCCAAUCAUCAUAUAGAUGUGGUAUUUAGAGUCAGGGGACUAGAAAGAACAAUGUAAGGGGGAAGUACAGAUAGAAAAAGGUCUAAGGCUGAGCCAUGAAAUAUGCCACAUUUUAGAGGUUGCGUAGAAGAGGUGGUAGCAAAGGAUAUUGAUAAGGAGUACCAGUGAGGUAGGAGGGAAAACAGAGAAUAAAACGUCUCAAGAAAGAGAGAUCAACUAUGUCAAAUUCUCCUG